UACGGAGGGUGCGAGCGUUGUCCGGAAUCAUUGGGCGUAAAGAGCUUGUAGGCGGUUUGUCGCGUCUGCUGUGAAAAUCCGGGGCUCAACCCCGGACUUGCAGUGGGUACGGGCAGACUAGAGUGUGGUAGGGGAGACUGGAAUUCCUGGUGUAGCGGUGAAAUGCGCAGAUAUCAGGAGGAACACCGAUGGCGAAGGCAGGUCUCUGGGCCACUACUGACGCUGAGAAGCGAAAGCAUGGGGAGCGAAC
rnacentral:rRNA from 1 species